UGGCGGACGGGUGAGUAAUGUCUGGGAAACUGCCCGAUGGAGGGGGAUAACUACUGGAAACGGUAGCUAAUACCGCAUAACGUCGCAAGACCAAAGAGGGGGACCUUCGGGCCUCUUGCCAUCAGAUGAACCCAUAUGGGAUUAGCUAGUAGGUAAGGUAACGGCUUACCUAGGCGACGAUCCCUAGCUGGUCUGAGAGGAUGAUCAGCCACACUGGGACUGAGACACGGCCCAG
rnacentral:rRNA from 1 species